UCACACAAUAUCCAUACAAAAGUCAUCAAUCCUUAAUCACAAUCAUUUCACUUCACAACACAUCACAAUCAAUUCACUUCACAACACAUCACAAUCAAUUCACUUUAUAACAAGCCAAAAACAUAACUAAUAUCAACUCAGUCAACCAAGAAAUUAUCAAGUAAUCAAACAGCAGUCCCUACUCAAUAUACACAAAGUUUAGUCUAUUAAAUACUUACCAGAAGUUAUAGGAUAACAAAGUAAUCCUAUUCUUUUUCUCUUACCACUUCCUUGCCUUUGGAUGAACCUAUUCACA
rnacentral:lncRNA from 1 species